rnacentral:rRNA from 1 species
UACGAAGGGGACUAGCGUUGUUCGGAAUUACUGGGCGUAAAGCGCACGUAGGCGGAUUUGUAAGUCAGGGGUGAAAUCCCGGGGCUCAACCUCGGAACUGCCUUUGAUACUGCAAGUCUCGAGUCCGAUAGAGGUGGGUGGAAUUCCUAGUGUAGAGGUGAAAUUCGUAGAUAUUAGGAAGAACACCGGUGGCGAAGGCGGCCCACUGGAUCGGUACUGACGCUGAGGUGCGGAAGCGUGGGGAGCAAACAGG